rnacentral:lncRNA from 1 species
UGCUUUAGGUAGAGAGUAGUGAAAACAAAUUGGGCAAGGGGUGUCUAUUUCCCCCACUUAAUGCUUUUAUCAGUCAAGGAAAAUCUUGUCUGCCCCUGUGAUCUCUCACCAUUUGUGACUUCCGAGGAAUGGCAUCUGUUGUGGGCUGAAUUGUGUCCCCCAAAAAUGUGCUCAAGUCCUAAACCUCAAUCCAUCAUCGGAAUGUGAUCUUAUUUGGAGACAGGGUCUUUACAGAAGUAAUCAAGUUAAAAUGAGGUCAUGGGGUGGAUGUAAUAAAGUCUGUUAACUCUUUGGAAACAGAUUCAGCGUGCAGGUCCAUCAAACUGUGAAUAGAGUCCUCUCAAUACUUCCACAGGCAUGACGAGUCUUACCUGCUGCUAUUACUUGAGACAUUAAUUUUCAGGGGAAGGCGACACGCAGAUUUAUUAUGAUUUAAGCACAACAGACAUCAGUCUCCAUUUGCUAAUCCCAUUUGUGUCCUAGGAGCUUGGAUAAGGAUCUUCUCUCAUUCCAAUUAUUAGACAGCUUCGGGCUCGUAAAAAUAAUUGACCCAACACUCUCCCAGAACGGUGACACGUUAUUUCACCGUAACUUGACUAACUUAAGCUACUGUCCUUUCCCUGGGAUCGCUGGGCUCACAGAUCCUGACUCGGCUGUUUUUCUGUGGUGUGACCCCGAGAAAGGCAAAUCAUUUGACUCUAGGGAUGGAAUCGGCAAAGCAAGGAUGACUUACUCGUCUCGGGGAAUUGUUGGGAGGACUAAUACAACAGGAUGUCCUCGUCUGACACACUGCAAGACCCUUAAACGGUAAACCAAAGACCGGUCCCUGGUAUCUUCCUAAGGUGGUUCCCCAGGGUUCCCCUCGAGAAGGGGCGUAACGCAGUAAGUAGUAAGGAGCUGACUGCUAAGCGAACCCCAGGAUUGAACGGUGAGGUACUCAAAGGAGAACACUCAGAGCCCUUCCGCCUUCGGAAAAGACGCGGGAUUGGGUAGAAUACCGCCACAAAGCCAAGAAAACGCGCGCAAGUUGCUGGACGGGACUCAUAUUGACCCGCAGACAGCAGCGCCGGAACGAAGCUCCCGGGCUCGGGUUUCUUCCCUUCCGGCGGGACUCUGUGCGGAGUGGACCUGCGUGGACACAACUUCCGGUAGGGCUAAGCAGUAUCCUGAGCACAUGAACUUGGCGCUAAGGCGCCGCUCCGGACCCGGGAGAACGAAACUGUGGUGGUAGCGGAGGGAACCUGGCUGCCCGCGACCAUGUGGAGGCUGCUGUCUCGCGCCAGUGCGCCGCUCCUGCGGGUGUCCGUGUCAGGUCAGAAGUCCCUUUGGGUCCCUAAAGAAGACUUCCCCCUUCUCCCCCGCCCCCCCGCGCCCUCCAGUGUUGCCUCUUCCAAAUCCAAAAAACUGCUAGCUGCGGCUGGUUGGGGGCUGCCCUUUUCCGCCGCCACCUCCGCUCUAGGGUUCCGUACCAAAGGGGCACAGCCAUGUGGCGGGGUGGCUCCCGGCUGACUUCUUCAGGGAAGCCUGAGCGCCCAUUCAAUGGAACCCUCUAGACGAUGUUAAAAGUAUCUUUGGCCCUGCCUUUGUCGCCUCGUUCAACUUUAUUUGUUUUUGUAGAUCCUAGGGCAGCCCUGCCCGCCAGUGCUGGCCUAAAGACUCUGCUUCCGGUGCCAUCCUUUGAAGGUGAGAGUUUGUCCAUCACUUUCCUCUUGGUCUUUUCUCUGAUGGAACCCAGUAGAAAAUAGAAGACAUUGGGUGUCCUUGUGCCAUCUGUCCCCAUUCACUCAUUCAGUAAAUAAUGCGUUGAAGGCAUACUAUAUUGUCGGUGUUCUAAACACCAGAGGUAAAUAACGAGGGGCCAUAAAAGUUCCCUGCUCUUAAUGGAGCAAAAAGCCAGUUGGUGGUUCCCCUAUAGCCUAUUCUUGGUAUGUGGCCCAUGGUCCAAUCAGCCAAAACUAAUUGGCCUCAAAUUUGGACUUUCGAUGUUCUCUCCAAAGGUGAUUGCAUGUAUGCAAUCAUUUAACAAUAUUAUGUAAAGUGCUAAUGUAUUAAAUAUAAAAGUUUACAAUAAGCCUCAGUUUUGUAAACUAAUUUGCCAUUCUUUUUUAAUAUACGGAAAUCUCAGAACAAUUAAAGGCAUGUGGCUAUCUGAAGGUCUUCAACGUGUAAUUGUUAAACCACUUUAUGUUCUGGGAAGUACAUACUGACUUGCAGUCAAAAGCAUUACCAAGUUCAUUUCUAGCUGCAUGAGAAAGCUGGGAGGCAGCUUUUAUAACCUGGAAUAGUGAUAAUUUUAUAAUUCCACUGAUAAUUAUAUCAAAUAUCAUUCUUUGAGGUCUCCUCUGUUUUAUGAUUCCAUCAUGGAGCCAUACUUGUUUUACUACUCAGAUUUUUUUUUACAUAAAUGACAAGAUGUUUGAUUCCCUACCCCUCAAAUUGCCAAGGAAAGAGGAUAAAGAAGUCAAGUGUCUGGUCUGAGGUUGUGCCCAUCCAACCUCACCCAGUACACUGGGGCACAGAUUAGGAAUUGUGCAGGUCUCAGCAUAACAGCCUCUACAUAUAUCAAAGACAGUACAUUGAUUGAUAAGAUUCCUAAGUUGUAAGUUUUCCAACAAAAACGUGGCAGAGAUGAAGAACUUAGUUAUUUUUAUAUGCAAUAAAAUAUGCUUUUAUCCCAUUAAUAUCCAGAGAUGCAGUAAACUAUUUUUUUAAAAAAGAAUCAUAUUGUCUGGCUUUGCUGUUUUAAUUGGAUAGUCUAGACCAAAUUACAAAACAUCUCCAGGCCUAAGGUUCUUCAUCUAUAAAUUAGAGAUUAAAAACACUUUCUACCUUAAAUUAUAUUUCUUGACCUGGGUGAUAGUGAUGUAUUUGUCUCAUGCAUUCACUUUCAGAUAGUUAACUGACCUUUAUGUGUGUUAAAUGUUUAAAAAAAAAUACCAAGGCUAUAAAAGUGUUGUGAAGAUUAAGAGAAAUAAUGAUUUCCAAACAGUUCCUUUAAUAGGUGUUAACCCCUGAGUGGGGUUAAAAAAUGCACAUUAGCUUCAAGGUUAAAACUUUGCUAUCUUCAAAGACUUAGAAGCAAUUGUGUUAACCAUUGUCAAUAGCUGGAAGAAUGCAGUUUUACUAAAUGCAUUCACAAGAAGAAUGUAAUAUUUCUUUGGAAUUAUUAUCCAAAGGUAACUCCUUAAGAGUUACCAUUUACUGUUAUAACUCUUUCUAGAGAUAUGUAGCUUUGCUUACUCUUGGUUGUCUGUGUUCCUUUUAGAUAUUUCCAUCCCUGAAAAGUCCAAGCUUAAAUUUGUUGAAAGGGUACCACUUGUGCCAAAAGUAAGAAGAGAACCUAAAAAUUUGAGUGACAUACGGGGACCUUCAACUGAAGCUACUGAGUUCACAGAAGGCAAUUUUGCAAUUUUGGUGAGUGAAGGAAGCUACAGAUUAAAAACAAACAAAAUUUUCAAAGUCUUCAAUUCUAGUCUCUUCCUCCAGUCUGUAUUAGAAGUGCCUCACAGGGAUGCCACAUACUAGCUGCCCUUUAAACAGAUGUAUAGAGGCUACUAGGUACCCUGUAUACAUAUAUCUUUUUAAAUGUAGAAUGAAAAUACAGUGGUUCUCCCUUAUCUAUGAAGGAUACAUUCCUAGUAUCCCACUGGAUGCUUGAGGCUAUGGAUGGUGCUGAACCCUAUGUACAAGCAUUAUGAUACCAUGACAGUGCAUCUAAUAACCUAGAGGGCUACUGAGUGACUAAUAGAUGGCCUAAUUAGCACAGUUACAUACUGGACAAAAGAUAAUUCAUGUCCAGGUGGAAUGGAGUGGAAAAGGAUAUCUUGAUGCUCAAAACAACGUGCAAUUUAAAAACUCAUGAAUUGUUUACUUCAUAUUUUUUCAUUUAAUAUUUUCAGACUGUGGUUGACUGUGGAUAACUGAAACCACAGAAAGAGAAACUAUGAAGGAGUUGGGGGAACUACCAUAAUAUAAAAGCAGGAGAGAGACUAAUUUGCCCAGCCAGACCAUGAGAUAUCUUCAGACUCUUAGUAAAAAUAAAACUAUCCACAACUUCAGCUAUGAGGCAGCUGUUCCUUUAUUUGUUGAGUAACUUCCAUAAAAACUAAUUGAGUAGCUGUACAAUCAGGUGCACUGGGCUUUGUUUCAUCCAGCAGGGAGACAUUUCAAAGUUCAUCAGCCUGCAUGAAUAGCCCCUGCUGACCUCUUAGAACCUCAUGCCCACUUCUCCAGCCACCCUGGCUUUUACUCCCAUUCAGCAAGCUCUUCACUUUGUCAGGUCUUUACAUAAACUGUUCCUCUACCUGGAACUCAUUCUCUUGCCUUAAAUAGUUUUUAUUAUUUUGUCCUCAGCUUUAAAUGUCACUUCUUCAGAGGCCUACCCUGGCUUACCACUGGAAUGGGUCUACCAUACUCUUUUAUUACCAUAUGCUAGUCUUUUCCUCCAUGGUACUUCUUAGUAAGAACUUACAUUUUCAUAUGUAUCUUUGAGGCAUGGUUUCUAAAAAAGGGAGACAUAAUAAAACCCACUAAAGACAUCUAAGUUCCCAUGUGUUUCUAAUUCUCUCAUUUACUUUUAGGCAUUGGGAGGUGGUUAUCUCCAUUGGGGCCAUUUUGAAAUGAUGCGCCUGACAAUCAACCGCUCUAUGGACCCCAAGAAUAUGUUUGCCAUAUGGCGAGUACCAGCCCCUUUCAAGCCCAUUACCCGCAAAGGAAUUGGACAGCGCAUGGGGGGAGGCAAAGGUGCCAUUGAUCAUUAUGUGACACCCGUGAAGGCUGGCCGCCUCAUAGUCGAGAUGGGUGGGCGAUGUGAAUUCAGAGAGGUACAGCAUUUCCUGAACCAGGCUGCCCACAAGUUGCCCUUCCCAGCAAAGUCUGUGAGUCGUGAGACCCUAGAGAAAAUGCAGAAAGAUCAAGAAGAAAGAGAACGUAACAACCAAAACCCCUGGACCUUUGAGCGUAUAGCCACUGCCAACAUGCUUGGGAUUCGGAAAGUACUGAGCCCAUAUGACUUGACCCAGAAGGGGCGAUACUGGGGCAAAUUCUACAUGCCCGAACGGGUGUAGUGAGAGCACAAGGAAUGUAUGCACUUGAGCUGCUGAGAGGGGGAUCUGCACUUUUCUUCUCUACAGCCUGACCAUUAAAGACUCCGGGUAUGUCUUAGGUUAUAUCUAAGAAGCAGUGUGUUAUCUGUUUUUUUUAAAUUAGAGUGUAACCUGAGGGUAUAACUUCUCAUUGGUCACCUUUAAUCCCUUAAGAAAUUAAGAAUGAUUAUUAAAAACAAAGUUCUUGGUUCUCGUGGAUUGUGAAAUAAAUGUCUUCAGGAAUG